GAUGAACGCUGGCGGCGUGCUUAACACAUGCAAGUCGAACGAAACACCUUAUUUGAUUUUCUUCGGAACUGAAGAUUUGGUGAUUGAGUGGCGGACGGGUGAGUAACGCGUGGGUAACCUGCCCUGUACAGGGGGAUAACAGUCAGAAAUGACUGCUAAUACCGCAUAAGACCACAGCACCGCAUGGUGCAGGGGUAAAAACUCCGGUGGUACAGGAUGGACCCGCGUCUGAUUAGCUGGUUGGUGAGGUAACGGCUCACCAAGGCGACGAUCAGUAGCCGGCUUGAGAGAGUGAACGGCCACAUUGGGACUGAGACACGGCCCAAACUCCUACGGGAGGCAGCAGUGGGGAAUAUUGCACAAUGGGGGAAACCCUGAUGCAGCGACGCCGCGUGAGUGAAGAAGUAUCUCGGUAUGUAAAGCUCUAUCAGCAGGGAAGAAAAUGAC
rnacentral:rRNA from 1 species